rnacentral:rRNA from 1 species
CAGUUACUUGGAUAACUGCGGUAAUUCUGGAGCUAAUACAUGCACAAAGCCCCGAACUUACGUGAGGGGCGCUUUUAUUAGAUCAAAACCAAACGGCUUCGGCUGUAUCCUUGGUGACUCUGAAUAACUUUGGGCUGAUCGCAUGGCCUAGCGCCGGCGACAUAUCCUUCGAAGGUGUGCCCUAUCAACUGUCGACUGUGGCAUAGACGCCCACAGUGGUUUUGACGGGUAACGGGGAAUCAGGGUUCGAUUCCGGAGAGGGAGCCUUAAAAACGGCUACCACAUCUAAGGAAGGCAGCAGGCACGCAAAUUACCCAAUGACCGAAGGUCGAGGUAGUGACAAAAAAUAACGAUACGGGACUCAUCUGAGGCCCCGUAAUCGGAAUGAGUACACUUUAAAACCGUCCCCGAGGAUCUAUU